rnacentral:misc_RNA from 1 species
GAAAUGCGAUAAGUAAUGUGAAUUGCAGAAUUCAGUGAAUCAUCGAAUCUUUGAACGCACAUUGCGCCCGCCAGUAUUCUGGCGGGCAUGCCUGUUCGAGCGUCAUUACAACCCUCAGGCCCCCGGGCCUGGCGUUGGGGAUCGGCGGAAGCCCCCUGCGGGCACAACGCCGUCCCCCAAAUACAGUGGCGGUCCCGCCGCAGCUUCCAUUGCGUAGUAGCUAACACCUCGCAACUGGAGAGCGGCGCGGCCACGCCGUAAAACACCCAACUUCUGAAUGUUGACCUCGUAUCAGGUAGGAAUACCCGCUGAACUUAAGC